UACGUAGGGUCCGAGCGUUGUCCGGAAUUAUUGGGCGUAAAGGGCUCGUAGGCGGUUUGUCGCGUCGGGAGUGAAAACACCGGGCUUAACUCGGUGCUUGCUUCCGAUACGGGCAGACUGGAGGUAUGCAGGGGAGAACGGAAUUCCUGGUGUGGCGGUGAAAUGCGCAGAUAUCAGGAAGAACACCUAUGGCGAAGGCAGCUCUCUGGGACGGUACUGACGCUGAGACGCGAAAGCGUGGGGAGCGAACAGG
rnacentral:rRNA from 1 species